CAUUGCAGGUGUGAUGUAA
rnacentral:piRNA from 1 species